GUAUACUACUUGUUCGCACCUUACAUUUGCACGGCGUUUUAAUUUAAUUAUUAAGUAACGGCAGUUUCGUAAUAGGGCGUGUCAAGCCCCGUCACACCGAGGUCUGCUGAACAAGUGCAGGUAAACAGCGACCUCAGUCUAUGUGAUCGCCGUAAUGCAUAGUGUCAACAGUGCAUCCCAAUUUAAGUUAUACAAUAUAGCACUGAAGAUGGUCACUCAGUGACAGAAAAUCGAUUCUGCAAUAGUAAAAAUAUACGACCAAUGCUGUCUCUUUUUUCAAGUAUACCUGUUAUCUGGUCGUUGUGCACAAGACAACAUGGAGUCGCC